rnacentral:rRNA from 1 species
AUUGAACGCUGGCGGCAGGCCUAACACAUGCAAGUCGAGCGGAUGAAGGGAGCUGGCUCCUGGAUUCAGCGGCGGACGGGUGAGUAAUGCCUAGGAAUCGGCCUGGGAGUGGGGGAUAACGUCCGGAAACGGGCGCUAAUACCGCAUACGUCCUGAGGGAGAAAGUGGGGGAUCUUCGGACCUCACGCUAUCAGAUGAGCCUAGGUCGGAUUAGCUAGUUGGUGGGGUAAAGGCCUACCAAGGCGACGAUCCGUAACUGGUCUGAGAGGAUGAUCAGUCACACUGGAACUGAGACACGGUCCAGACUCCUACGGGAGGCAGCAGUGGGGAAUAUUGGACAAUGGGCGAAAGCCUGAUCCAGCCAUGCCGCGUGUGUGAAGAAGGUCUUCGGAUUGUAAAGCACUUUAAGUUGGGAGGAAGGGCAGUAAGUUAAUACCUUGCUGUUUUGACGUUACCAACAGAAUAAGCACCGGCUAACUUCGUG